GCCCUUCGGUUGAUCCUGCCGGAGGCCAUUGCUAUCGGAAUCCGAUUUAGCCAUGCUAGUCGCACGGGUCAGACCCGUGGCGGACAGCUCAGUAACACGUGGCCAAACUACCCUGUGGACGGGGAUACUCUCGGGAAACUGAGGCUAAUCCCCGAUAGGGCUUCCAUCCUGGAGUGGAGGAAGUCCGAAAGUCGCGCUGCGACACCACAGGAUGUGGCUGCGGCCGAUUAGGUAGACGGUGGGGUAACGGCCCACCGUGCCAGUAAUCGGUACGGGUGAUGAGAGUCAGAGCCCGGAGACGGUAUCUGAGACAAGAUACCGGGCCCUACGGGGCGCAGCAGGCGCGAAACCUUUACACUGCACGACAGUGCGAUAGGGGGAUUCCGAGUGCGAGGGCAUACAGUCCUCGCUUUUCUUGACCGUAAGGAGGUCCAGGAACAAGGGCUGGGCAAGACCGGUGCCAGCCGCCGCGGUAAUACCGGCAGCCCGAGUGAUGGCCGAUAUUAUUGGGCCUAAAGCGUCCGUAGCCGGCCGGACAAGUCCGUUGGGAAAUCCACGCGCUCAACGCGUGGACGUCCAGCGGAAACUGUCCGGCUUGGGGCCGGAGGACUCGAGGGGUACGUCCGGGGUAGGAGUGAAAUCCCGUAAUCCUGGACGGACCACCGGUGGCGAAAGCGCCUCGAGAGGACGGACCCGACGGUGAGGGACGAAAGCCAGGGUCUCGAACCGGAUUAGAUACCCGGGUAGUCCUGGCCGUAAACGAUGUCUGCUAGGUGUGGCGCAGGCUACGAGCCUGCGCUGUGCCGCA
rnacentral:rRNA from 1 species